CCCCUAGAUGUUCUGGGCCGCACGCGCGCUACACUGACGAAUGCAACGAGCUUAUAACCUUGGCCGAAAGGUCUGGGUAAUCUCCAAAUUUCGUCGUGAUGGGGAUAGAUUAUUGCAAUUAUUAAUCUUCAACGAGGAAUGCCUAGUAAGCGCAAGUCAUCAGCUUGCGUUGAUUACGUCCCUGCCCUUUGUACACACCGCCCGUCGCUCCUACCGAUUGAAUGGUCCGGUGAAGCGUUCGGACCGUGGCCUUUGGACGGUUCGCCGUCUGUUGGCUGCAGGAAGUUCGUUAAACCUUAUCAUUUAGAGGAAGGAGAAGUCGUAACA
rnacentral:rRNA from 1 species